AAAACGAGAACACGCCAGUUAUGUACAAGUGACAAGAUUAUCCUGACUUUCGCUAGCUACUUUCUUUUAUUGUUUUGUAGAAUCUAAAGUGGUAAAAUGUAAUGUGAACAAGUAUUAUUACUAAAAAGAAGCUUUCAUCUCACAACCGAAGGCCCGAGUCAUUACUUUGAAGAGAGAACUUCAAAAUGAGAUCCUGCCAUGGAAAAGACGACGGACAUGAAGUGGAAAGGAGGGGAAAUAACUCACACCAUGCAGCAGGACACCUUCAGCUGUGUGGUUUUUGUAAUGCAGAUGGCCAAGGAAGUUGCACAGAACUUCCCCAACAUCCCCUCCCAAAUUGAUAUGGAACCUUCAAAAACACAUGGAGCAAAGUUCAACAAAGCCAACAACUGCUUCAUGUGUGCCACUGAUAAAGAACCUGGAUGUAGCACAAAGACUGCCUGGAUUGAAUGUUUUGCAGGCCAAAGGUGGUUCCAUGUGCUGUAACUAGGAAUGAAGACAAAAUAGUUAAACAGAGCAAACAACACAAACUGGAAGUGCUGUCUUUGUUGUUGAAAAUGUAUGCUAUACCCCAUCCACACUGAAGAGGCUCUGACAUGUACAUCAACCAGGGAUAAAGAGAAAGUUAACACUGUGAAAUGUUUCAUACUUAUUUUUAAUUGUAUGUUGACACGUUGGAAAAGAUUAAAGGUGUACAAUUUCUGUUUAA
ensembl:lncRNA